rnacentral:rRNA from 1 species
AGUGAACGCUGGCGGCAGGCCUAAUACAUGCAAGUCGAACGGCAGCACAGCAGAGCUUGCUCUGUGGGUGGCGAGUGGCGGACGGGUGAGGAAUACAUGGGAAUCUGCCCAGUCGUGGGGGAUAACGUAGGGAAACUUACGCUAAUACCGCAUGCGCCCUUCGGGGGAAAGCCGGGGACCUUCGGGCCUGGCGCGAUUGGAUGAGCCCAUGUCGGAUUAGCUAGUUGGCGGGUAAUGGCCCACCAAGGCGACGAUCCGUAGCUGGUCUGAGAGGAUGAUCAGCCACACUGGAACUGAGACACGGUCCAGACUCCUACGGGAGGCAGCAGUAGGGAAUAUUGGACAAUGGGCGCAAGCCUGAUCCAGCCAUGCCGCGUGAGUGAAGAAGGCCCUCGGGUUGUAAAGCUCUUUUGUCCGGAAAGAAAAGCGCCGGGUUAAUACCCUGGUGUCCUGACGGUACCGGAAGAAUAAGCACCGGCUAACUUCGUGCCAGCAGCCGCGGUAA